UGUUACUGCUCCUAUUGUUCAGAUUUCUCAGGCAGAUUAUGAGAGGUUACGCCAGCUAGAACUCUCUCAGAACAUUCAUUCUGCUACUCAUGCAUCCUCUUCAAGUAUGGAUGCUUACAUAGCUUCUUCUUACAAACCUUGGGUACUAGAUUCUGGAGCCUCAUCUCAUAUGACAGGACCUAGCAACUGGGAUGAAGAUUGGUUCGGGGCAUGAGAGAGGAGGAAUGAUGAAUUUUCCGGUAAGAAGGCAGACGGCUGGGAUAAUGCAGUAUGCGAGGAGAGGGAUGGAUGUGAAGGGGUAGACGAUGG